UAAUGUAUGGGGAUCUGCCCGAUAGAGGGGGAUAACUACUGGAAACGGUGGCUAAUACCGCAUAAUGUCUACGGACCAAAGCAGGGGCUCUUCGGACCUUGCACUAUCGGAUGAACCCAUAUGGGAUUAGCUAGUAGGUGGGGUAAAGGCUCACCUAGGCAACGAUCUCUAGCUGGUCUGAGAGGAUGAUCAGCCACACUGGGACUGAGACACGGCCCAG
rnacentral:rRNA from 1 species